UGGAAAACAACCUCUGAUGGUCGCGUUCCCACAACGAGAGGCGUGGCUCUGGAUAGAGCAUAUUGUUACCGCCCAUUGACAUUUUAAAUGCUCAAAGAAGUCAGGUUAAACAGUCCAUAGGAACUACAGUGCCAUUCUAUCUGCAAUGGCCAUAGGACUUUGUAUUCAAUGCGUGUCCUGCUAUAUCUUAUAAUUACGGUGUGCACGAUUGGACAAUGUAUGAAGUAGGCUAUAGAAAACGUCGAUUGACUGGUCUGUUUGUUUUGUUUUCCUCGUGUCGUCUCAUCUCAGGUGCACGUUCCAUAGUCCAUAUGCAGUUUGAAGUCAGUCGGUCCCAAGAGACCCUCUCUGCGUCAAUAAAUGCGAUUUGUGGUUCAUUUAACGCAUUCAGGUAUGAGGUAUUUCUAUAAUUAUGAAUACAUCGAAAGUACAUACGUAUAUAAGUUCAUAACCAUCAAUGAUCAGAUGCUACAAUGGUAGGCCUUAGCCUACAGUAGGUAUGUCAUGAUUUGACACCUGAAACAGAGUUCGGCUCUUGCCAAGUAGGGUAAGGAAUGGGUUAUGCAGAUGCAAGGCUAAAGUGUGAUGUUUGUGGUUGUCUUAUUCAUAGACUUUCAAGAGGCUAGAGGGAGAGACAACCAAUAAUCAGGUAGACUAAUAUUCGCCUAAGCAAAUCAUCAGCGAUGAGGCGACGGUCAAGAUAUAGUGACUAAAUUAUGGAUUACACAAGUAGAUUUCAGAAAAGGUCAAACUGCAGUCAGUAUGGGUUACAUUUGAAGAAAAAAAUACACAUCACCAUUAGUAAAAUAAUGUAAUGAUUAGUCACACAUUAUCUGUUUCAAAUAUGAAAGUUGUAGACAAUGUUUUUUGUUGAGAAACAUUUCAAUGAUAGACCUAGUAAAAUGGCGUGUAUCUGAAGCAUAAUAGUAGAGCAUUUUGUCCUCUGUGAGUUUUUAAGGUACUUUAUUUGAGGUGUUUUAAUGGAUUUGUUGGUAAUUUGAGGGAACAGACAUGCAAGCAAUAAACUACAUAAAAAGAGCUGAAACAGAAAACAUUUUUGAAGUGCACAGUAAUAGUAGGAAACACUUUUUAUUUAUAAUGCUUUCAGACUCUCCUCAUCAUAGUCUAGAAGCAUUUUAAUUUUUUGUCAACAAGACUUUUUAAUGCAUAUUUAUCAUUUGUCAUCAGCAUCCAGAUGUUUGAAAAUAUGUAUUAUCCUUGGAAGUCCAGUUGGCUUCACUGCAGAUUUCUCCCCUUAGAGCAGCAAGUGACUAACACUGCCCAGGAAAACAACUUAAAUCUGUAAACCAACAUUAAUGCAGUGAUUUACAGUCCCCUUGGGAUCCACAGCAAGGUGUGCAAGGAGUACUGAAAUGUCCUCACUCAGAAAGACACUGAAGAUUUCAUUAAAAAGUGUACACCAAUCUCUUGAGAGAAGAGGCCAAACUUAAUGGAACCAGGACAAGAAGAAGAAACGGAAAGUGGAAGGCCUAAAUGUACCAACACUUCAGAGAAUAAGUGCAAAAAGUACGGACUGGCUACAGACUUCACAGGGCCUUAUUUGGUUUCUUCCUUAAAAAGUAUACAGCAUCACACUGAAAGAUGACACAGAGAGGCCAGACAGACUCUAUUUAUAUAGCACAUUUUAAAACAACAGAUGUUGAAUAAAAAAAAAACUUUAAGAGGAAUAAAAAAAUGAGAGAAUAAAAGACAAAAAGUAAUAUUAAAAACAAGACAUGAUAAACAAACAGAAAAAUAAAUGAGUAAAAGGAACUACAAUUAAAAGGCUAAGCUAAAAUGAAGCACAUAUGACAAAUAAAAUAAACAUAACCGAUAAAAGGAAUAAGAAAUAUAGCUGCAAGCAGCGAUGCGGAUUCCUCCUA